AGUGAACGCUGGCGGUAGGCCUAACACAUGCAAGUCGAACGGCAGCACAGUAAGAGCUUGCUCUUACGGGUGGCGAGUGGCGGACGGGUGAGGAAUACAUCGGAAUCUACUUUUUCGUGGGGGAUAACGUAGGGAAACUUACGCUAAUACCGCAUACGACCUACGGGUGAAAGCAGGGGAUCUUCGGACCUUGCGCGAUUGAAUGAGCCGAUGUCGGAUUAGCUAGUUGGCGGGGUAAAGGCCCACCAAGGCCACGAUCCGUAGCUGGUCUGAGAGGAUGGUCGGCCACACUGGAAGGGAGACACGGUCCAGACUCCUACGGGAGGCAGCAGUGGGGAAUAUUGGACAAUGGGCGCAAGCCUGAUCCAGCCAUACCGCGUGGGUGAAGAAGGCCUUCGGGUUGUAAAGCCCUUUUGUUGGGAAAGAAAAGCAGCAGGUUAAUACCCCGCUGUUCUGACGGUACCCAAAGAAUAAGCACCGGCUAACUUCGUG
rnacentral:rRNA from 1 species